GGCAGCUAGCCAUGCCUGUAACUGGAGGAUAGGAAGCAUUUCAGGCAGUAAACUGCAAAUACACAGCCUUGAGUCUUGCUGGUGGUGUUUUCAUCUCUGAUAUUUGUAUUGAAGAUCUUGCUUAAAAUCUGGUGAUGCCUGGCUCUUCGUGAAAGUUUGGAAAGGUAGCAACAAAAAGUUGAAUGGGAGCUGUGGGUUUAUGGGUUGCCAGAGAAGAACAAUGACCAGAGUCUUUUAUUGCAUGGCAAAACCAGGAUACAACUUUCUUGGCCUUUUUGCCCACCUUUAUGUAGGAGUGCCAAGCUACCGAGGGUCUAGACAUUCAGAAAAGACAGGAUACUCUCUUUCCUUUUUUCACGAAGAAUGGCAAGAUGCUAAGAACUUAGAGGGGAAGAAAGAGGCUGCUUGAGUCUAUGACUGACAGCAUAAUCUAGCCUAACAAGAGUGGUUCAUUCUUCUGGGACCAGAGUAAGAACUGCAAGAGAUUCAAAGGGGAUUGUACCAAUAACAUAAAGAGGAAAAGAAAUGGAAUUGAUAUGAAAAAUACUUGGAUCUGGAUCCUGAAAAGAGAAGGGAAAGACACCAGAGCAGCUGGAAAAAUCUAAGGAAAUUAGAUAUUUCGGAAAGAUAUGGACAGUUCGUUGAGAUCUGGCACAAUGAUUGUCCAUAAGAGUCAUGCAAAUGUUCAACAACCCAUGCCCCAUGGCUCUGCUCUGUCAUUUGUGGAAGGCUUCCAGGGAAAAGA